AAAGAGCUCAGCCACUUCCCUAUUCUCAGUGUUGGUAGAGCACAAAGGAGAAUGCAGCAAUAAUCCCUGUGACCGCUGCUAACUUCGCAUAUGAAAAUCGGGGACUUUUCUGCCGAUAGUGUUCCAUAAACCCGGGGUUUUCCUGUUUAAAGUAUUCUACGAAACCCUUCUCCUAGAUGGAAAAAAAAGUAAAUUUUAUGAAUGAACGCAACACCGUGACACAAAUUUCCGUCAUCUGCAAAGAGCGGAACAGUGGGUAAUCUUAGUGGUGAGUGUUUGAAGUGGAAGCAAUUUCCUACCCAGCCGCCUUUCUCCUGGAUCCACGCAGCUUUGAGAGUACACGUGUGAUGAGCCAUACACUGAGCCAUUUCCUCAACCAGUUCUUCCUCUGGAAUGCCUCUCCUUCUCAACUGCCUCGCUAACUCUCCACAAAACGCGUACAAAGCCACAAGUCUGCCCCAGUUAUCCUCCCCAUCUGAGGAGAUCUCGCUCAUUAGAAUGGGAAACGCUCGCUUCACGUCCUCUAUGGAAGCGAAUCUAAGUUGUUUGAUGUAGAGUUCAAACUCGUGUUCCCUGACUCGCUGGAAGAGGGCGGCCGCCUUACGCAGAGUUUCAGCCGCGCUGCUGGUGGCAGGAACUGACUGAGAUCCAUCUAACGCAAACUUCAAAUAAUCCUUCACCAACCCGUAGACGAACUGCUUGGAGUGUGAAUCGUGGCCCAUAAUGAUCAGUGCUGGUCUUUCUCAGCUGCUUGUUGAGUCUGACACACUGACCUCUUCGUUUUUAUUAGCAGCAGCCUGUCUUGGGCAGAGCAGAUGCCAUAUCAAGCUGUGCUCCAUCUGGAUAGAACGUCUAUAAAAAUCAUUAAGAGUCAUUGUGGACAUGCUGAAUUUCCUUAGCCUUCUGAGGAAGUGAAGACAUUGGCGUGCUUUCUUGACCAUACCAUCAACAUGGAUUUGACAGGUUGCCCUAUGGUGGGACUACACAACAAAUGUACUAUAGUCAUGGCUAACAUCAGCUCUAGCCUCCCCCAGCCUGCCUCAAUCCCUUUGCCAACUGGCACAACAGUCCACAGCAGAUUCCAUUUCCUUAGCUGUACCUCAACUCUGGAACAUCUGGAUAAUAAGCUUACCUACAUCAGGUUUCUACUUAUUGACUUCUGCCCCACCUUCAGCACAAUAAUCCCAAACAAGGUAAACUCCAAAUUCCAAAACUGAGCUCUCUGCUCCACUCUCUGCAACUGGAUCCUCAAUUUCCUGACCCAAGACUGCAAUCAGUGAAGAUAGGCAAUAGCGCCUCCUCUACAAGAAUCCUCAACACUGGCACCUUGCAAGGAUGCAUAUUCAGCCCCCUACUGUACUCCAUGUACACUCAUGACUGUGUGGCCAAAUUGCAUCUGAACUCCAUCUACAAGUUCACUGACGUCACCUGUGUUGUAGGCCGGAUACCAAACAAUGACGAGACAGAAUACAGGAAAAGAAAUAGAAUGCUUGGUGAAAUGGUGCAAAGAUAACAAUCUCUCCCUCAAUGUCAGCAAAACUAAAGAGCUGAUCAUCAACUUCAGGAAUCAAGGAGAAAAACACACCUUUAUCUACAUCAACGGAGCUAAGGUGGAGACAGCCAAGAGUGUCAAGUUCUUAGGAGUGAUGAUCGCCAACAGUCUUGUCCAGGAACACACACGUUGAUGCGAGAGUCAAGAAGGCAUAACAAUGCCUCUUCUUCCUCAGGAGGCUAAGGAAAUUCAACAUGGCCAUAAGGCCCCCCCACCAGCUUUUACAGUUGCAACACAGAAAGCAUUCUGUUUGGGUGAAUCACAUAUUGGUAUGGCAACUGCUCUGCUCAGGACCAUAAGAAACUACAGAAAGUUGUGAAAACAGCCCAGACCGUAAAGCAAGCCAACCUUUCAUCCACUGACUCUAUCUAUAUUUCUCAUUGCUGCAGAAAGGCAACCAACAUCAUCAAAGACCCUCUCAUUCUGGUUAUAAUCUCUUCCACCAGGCAGAAGAUAAAAAAAGUUUAAACACGCAUACCAACAGGUUCAACAACAGCGUCUUCCUUGCUGUUAUUUGACUUCAGAAUGGACCUCUCAAAUGUGAAAUCUAAUGUUGAUCUUGCUUUUUGUACAACUUCUUUGUAGCCGUAACUUAGUAUUCCUCAGUCUGUACAAUCACCUUGUCACCUUUGUGUCUUUGAAUGUUAUGGUCUGCUGUACUGCACACAAAACAAAACUUUUCACUGUACUUAGAUACACAUGACAAUAAUAAAUCAAAUCAAAUUGAAUCAAAUCAAAUCACAUCCCUUUCU